rnacentral:rRNA from 1 species
UACAGAGGUGGCGAGCGUUAUCCGGAAUUAUUGGGCGUAAAGGGUACGUAGGCGGCUGGUCAAGUCUGGGGUCAAAGGCCACAGCUCAACUGUGGGAAGGCCCUGGAAACUGACCGGCUAGAGUGAGGUAGGGGUUGCGGGAAUUCCCGGUGUAGCGGUGAAAUGCGUAGAGAUCGGGAAGAACACCUGAGGCGGAAGCGCGCAACUGGGCCUCAACUGACGCUGAGGUACGAAAGCUAGGGGAGCGAAUGGG